UGAAGGCUAGUGUAUUUACACGAAUAAAUUUGAGUUAUUAAAAGGAGCUAAAAACUCCGCUUUCAG
rnacentral:tRNA from 1 species